rnacentral:rRNA from 1 species
AUUGAACGCUGGCGGCAUGCCUUACACAUGCAAGUCGAACGGCAGCAUGGAGAGCUUGCUCUCUGAUGGCGAGUGGCGAACGGGUGAGUAAUGCAUCGGAACGUACCGUGUAAUGGGGGAUAACGUAGCGAAAGUUACGCUAAUACCGCAUACGACCUGAGGGUGAAAGCAGGGGAUCGCAAGACCUUGCGUUAUACGAGCGGCCGAUGUCAGAUUGGCUAGUUGGUAGGGUAAAGGCCUACCAAGGCGACGAUCUGUAGCGGGUCUGAGAGGAUGAUCCGCCACACUGGGACUGAGACACGGCCCAGACUCCUACGGGAGGCAGCAGUGGGGAAUUUUGGACAAUGGGGGAAACCCUGAUCCAGCAAUGCCGCGUGAGUGAAGAAGGCCUUCGGGUUGUAAAGCUCUUUCGGCUGGGAAGAAAUCGCACAGGCUAAUACUCUGUGUGGAUGACGGUACCAGCAUAAGAAGCACCGGCUAACUACGUGCCAGCAGCCGCCGUAA